rnacentral:lncRNA from 1 species
GGGUAAGUUAUCUGCUGUUAAUGAUCUGGACAUGUAUAUAUAUGGUGUGGAUGAAUUGAAAAUUACAGUUGAGAAUGAUCUUGAAAGAAACUGAAACCUGGUUAGAGAAUAUUAUCGGGAUUGUAAAUGAAUUGUUCUGUUCACCGAUUAAAUGUUAGAAGGGUAUGAUAUUUCUGUUAAAAGAUUUAGGUUAUCAGUG